CCCUUAGAUGUCCUGGGCUGCACGCGCGCUACACUGACACGCUCAACGAGUAAUACCUGCUCCGAAGGGACUGGGUAAUCUUGUUAAAUCGUGUCGUGAUGGGGAUAGAUUAUUGCAAUUAUUAAUCUUCAACGAGGAAUUCCUAGUAAGUGUAAGUCAUCAGCUUGCGCUGAUUACGUCCCUGCCCUUUGUACACACCGCCCGUCGCUCCUACCGAUUUCGAGUGGUCCGGUGAAUCUUUCGGACUGCACGUAGCUUCGUGCUAUGUUGCGGAAAGUCAGGUAAACCUUAUCACUUAGAGGAAGGAGAAGUCGUAACA
rnacentral:rRNA from 1 species